UUCUUAAAAUGAUGAUUUAAGUAUAAUGCAUAGUUCAGCUGACUUAUUGAUUGAAGAGAAGAACUUAAAUAUAUAGUCUUUCACCCCUAUCUGACUUAAAAA
rnacentral:snoRNA from 1 species